CCCGUCCCGCGCCGUGGGAGGCGCCCUGGGGGAAGUGCCCGAACACUGGGUCAGACCCCGGAGGGGCGCGGAAUCUUGGGCGCGGAGGAGACUUCUCCAGGUAGAGGCAGCAGCUGGAACGUGAGAGCAGCCUUGUAGGCCUCUCCACCAGAUUGUAAGAUGCUGGAGGGAAGGAGGCAGAGUCUCCAGCUCGGGGACUGGGUAGAAGCUUCACGCAUUUGUUGGACAGGAAAUGGCCUUUGGUGUCUGCGGCUCCGUCUGGCCGAGGAUGGAGUUUUGGACCAUGCAAAGAGAAGAAUCUGGCUGCCCAGGUUGGGCCACUUUGGAGGCUCUGGACUCUGCUGAGGGAUGCCAAGAGGCAGAGAAGAGAACUCAGGUGCCCUGUUCACCCUGUAGCAGCCACCAUCACCCCUAAGGUCUCUGCACUAAGGAACCCCUCUCUGCAGCUCUAGGGCCUUGGAUGGUUGGAAUGUUUGGAAUUCUCUUUGUCAAUGGUGCAAGUCUUCCAAGAGGAAUAAAAUUUCUAUGUAAUUAUA